rnacentral:rRNA from 1 species
GCUGGCGGCAUGCUUUACACAUGCAAGUCGAACGGCAGCACGGGGGCAACCCUGGUGGCGAGUGGCGAACGGGUGAGUAAUAUAUCGGAACAUGUCCGGAAGUGGGGGAUAGCUCGGCGAAAGCCGGAUUAAUACCGCAUAUGCCCUGAGGGGGAAAGGAGGGGAUCCGCAAGGACCUUUCGCUUUCGGAGUGGCCGAUAUCGGAUUAGCUAGUUGGUGAGGUAAAGGCUCACCAAGGCGACGAUCCGUAGCUGGUCUGAGAGGACGACCAGCCACACUGGAACUGAGACACGGUCCAGACUCCUACGGGAGGCAGCAGUGGGGAAUUUUGGACAAUGGGGGCAACCCUGAUCCAGCCAUGCCGCGUGAGUGAAGAAGGCCUUCGGGUUGUAAAGCUCUUUCAGCCGGAAAGAAACGGUCACGGUGAAUAUCCGUGACUAAUGACGGUACCGGCAGAAGAAGCACCGGCUAACUACGUGCCAGCAGCCGCGGUAAUACGUAGGGUGCGAGCGUUAAUCGGAAUUACUGGGCGUAAAGCGUGCGCAGGCGGUUUUGUAAGACAGACGUGAAAUCCCCGGGCUUAACCUGGGAACUGCGUUUGUGACUGCAAGGCUAGAGUACGGCAGAGGGGGGUAGAAUUCCACGUGUAGCAGUGAAAUGCGUAGAUAUGUGGAGGAAUACCGAUGGCGAAGGCAGCCCCCUGGGUCGAUACUGACGCUCAUGCACGAAAGCGUGGGGAGC